UGGUUGGCUGACCACAGGUUCCUGGAUCC
rnacentral:piRNA from 1 species